GUGGUACCAGUCAGUGAUCACUCUAAUUUUUUUAAUCUCUGUGUGGAAUGCGUUUGUUCUGUGCGGCAAUAUCAAGACUCUGUGUGCGCACAUGCAUGCAGAGUGGGGCCUUCCUAAUACAAACUGAGCGGAAUCCAAGAUUAACUGAGUGGACAUCAGAAAACUUUCUAACUUUAGAUUGUGAGAUCAUUGGGACCGGGAUUUUUGUGUCUGCUUGUGCUGAAGUUGCACUGUGUUCUGUUACUGCCGGGGUGAGAAGAACUGGCUGUGGUCAUCAACCAGAAGAGCAAAAGCUGCUAGGAAAUCCCACCUUUCCCCUCACAGCAAAAGCAUCAGCAAGGGAAAAGAUUAACCUGGCAUUAACCAAUGGACAAGGAACCAGUAGCUUGUUUUUCCCUUUCUUCCAGAAUUUGCUUGUGUUAUAUUUGGAGAUACAGCAGCUGAGCAGCUCUACAUAUAGGAUUGUAUCUAAACAGUUAGUCAUGACUAAGCACCCCUGAGAACAAUGAGACAAGUUAGUUAUAUAACUAAGAAGUCCCAUUUAUUUGGGUACUUAGUCACACACAACUUUAUCUGGAUACAUAACUUUAUUUGGAACAUUAGAAAGAGAUGCAAUUUUGUGAUGAGCAAAUGGAUGAAUAAAUUCCCCCAAUGAAGACAGCUGAACAUGCA